GACGAACCGGACAAACGUUAUUCGGAAUUACUGGGCUUAAAGGGUUUGUAGGCGGCCUUGUAAGUGGGGUGUGAAAGCCCACGGCUCAACCGUGGAAGUGCAUUCCAUACUGCAAGGCUUGAGGGAGACAGAGGUAAGCGGAACUGAUGGUGGAGCGGUGAAAUGCGUUGAUAUCAUCAGGAACACCGGUGGCGAAAGCGGCUUACUGGGUCUCUUCUGACGCUGAGAAACGAAAGCUAGGGGAGCGAACGGG
rnacentral:rRNA from 1 species